UGUAGCUUGUCUGUCUGAAAUGCCAUGUUGAAAACUCGGGGAUCGGGUCUGCAAUCCGUAGGAGAGCCAUCGUCGCCGUGCAGUCGUACAGCUGGGAUUGAUGACGGUGGUCGGAGAAACUACUCCCCAGCCCUGGCUGGAGGCAUCCGUAGUGACAACUUCCAUUCUGUGAGGGGAGCCGAGGGGAGAUCAGAGGCGCAAAUUGCCGGGACAGAGCCACCACUCCUCUGGCAUUGUCUGGAUCAGCGGGUAUGGAUCACAGAUCGGGUGCAACUUGAAUGUAUUUACCCAGGCUUGAAGCAGGCACAUUC